rnacentral:rRNA from 1 species
UACGGAGGGUGCAAGCGUUGUUCGGAAUCACUGGGCAUAAAGCGCACGUAGGCGGCGACGUAAGUUGGGUGUGAAAUCCCUCGGCCCAACCGAGGAACUGCGCCCAGUACUGCGUUGCUUGAGGAUCCAAGGGGUGCAUGGAAUUCCCGGUGGAGCGGUGAAAUGCGUUGAUAUCGGGAGGAACUCCGGCGGCGAAAGCGGUGCACUGGUGGAUUACUGACGCUGAGGUGCGAAAGCCAGGGGAGCAAACGGG